UACAGGAAGUAAAAGAAGAAAAAGCGUAGUCUUGUGACAGGCAGGUGAGGAAGCAGUCGAAAUUUCCUUUGGGUGGGCAGUAUCCAACAUUUUGCCGAGAUGUCUGGUCUGGGCUUGGAAAAGAGAUGGCUACCUGCUCAGCUGCUGCUCCUGUGGAUGCUGACCAACAUCUCUGAGUCCAGAGUGUUUUUUUCUGCUCCUGAUGCUGUUACACUUGAGGAAUACUCUAAAGCCAACAUCACCAUUACUUCAAGGUAACCACAGAAACACUUUUAAGAAACAUUGUUGAGUGUUCAAUGAAUGGAGCUC